GAUGAACGCUAGCGGCAGGCUUAAUACAUGCAAGUCGAGGGGCAGCACGAUAGCAAUAUUGGUGGCGACCGGCGCACGGGUGCGUAACACGUAUACAAUCUACCUAAAACAGGGGGAUAGCCUUUCGAAAGAGAGAUUAAUACCCCGUAACAUAUUUGAUGGCAUCAUUUAAUAUUGAAAGCUCCGGCGGUUUUAGAUGAGUAUGCGUCUGAUUAGCUAGUAGGUGAGGUAACGGCUCACCUAGGCGACGAUCAGUAGGGGAUCUGAGAGGACUACCCCCCACACUGGUACUGAGACACGGACCAGACUCCUACGGGAGGCAGCAGUAAGGAAUAUUGGUCAAUGGAGGCAACUCUGAACCAGCCAUGCCGCGUGCAGGAAGACGGCCCUAUGGGUUGUAAACUGCUUUUGUACCAGAGAAAACCCCUUUACGUGUAGAGGGUUGAUAGUACGGUAAGAAUAAGCAUCGGCUAACUUCGUGCCAGCAGCCGCCGUAACAC
rnacentral:rRNA from 1 species